GAUACUGCCCUUGUGUCCCUGAGCAAGUCCUUUCAUCUCACCGUACCACUCUGUCAGUGCUCUCAGAAGCUAAGCGGGGUUUGUCCUAGUUCGUACUUGGAUGGGAGAUCGCUGGGAAUGCUGGGUACU
rnacentral:rRNA from 1 species